AGUGAACGCUGGCGGUAGGCCUAACACAUGCAAGUCGAACGGCAGCACAGUAAGAGCUUGCUCUUACUGGUGGCGAGUGGCGGACGGGUGAGGAAUACAUCGGAAUCUACUUUUUCGUGGGGGAUAACGUAGGGAAACUUACGCUAAUACCGCAUACGACCUACGGGUGAAAGCAGGGGAUCUUCGGACCUUGCGCGAUUGAAUGAGCCGAUGUCGGAUUAGCUAGUUGGCGGGGUAAAGGCCCACCAAGGCGACGAUCCGUAGCUGGUCUGAGAGGAUGAUCAGCCACACUGGAACUGAGACACGGUCCAGACUCCUACGGGAGGCAGCAGUGGGGAAUAUUGGACAAUGGGCGAAAGCCUGAUCCAGCCAUACCGCGUGGGUGAAGAAGGCCUUCGGGUUGUAAAGCCCUUUUGUUGGGAAAGAAAAGCAGCAGGUUAAUACCCCGCUGUUCUGACGGUACCCAAAGAAUAAGCACCGGCUAACUUCGUG
rnacentral:rRNA from 1 species